UACGGAGGGGGUUAGCGUUGUUCGGAAUUACUGGGCGUAAAGCGCGCGUAGGCGGAUUAGAAAGUUAGGGGGUGAAAUCCCGGGGCUCAACCUCGGAACUGCCUCUAAAACUCCUAGUCUUGAGGUCGAGAGAGGUGAGUGGAAUUCCGAGUGUAGAGGUGAAAUUCGUAGAUAUUCGGAGGAACACCAGUGGCGAAGGCGGCUCACUGGCUCGAUACUGACGCUGAGGUGCGAAAGCGUGGGGAGCAAACAGG
rnacentral:rRNA from 1 species